GAUGAACGCUAGCGGCAGGCCUAACACAUGCAAGUCGAGGGGUAGAGUUAGCUUGCUAACUUGAGACCGGCGCACGGGUGCGUAACACGUAUGCAAUCUACCUUGUACAGAGGGAUAGCCCAGAGAAAUUUGGAUUAAUACCUCAUAGUAUCUUUACCUGGCAUCGGGUAAUUAUUAAAGUUCCAACGGUACAAGAUGAGCAUGCGUCCCAUUAGUUAGUUGGUAAGGUAACGGCUUACCAAGACAAUGAUGGGUAGGGGUCCUGAGAGGGAGAUCCCCCACACUGGUACUGAGACACGGACCAGACUCCUACGGGAGGCAGCAGUGAGGAAUAUUGGUCAAUGGACGCAAGUCUGAACCAGCCAUGCCGCGUGUAGGAAGACGGUCCUAUGGAUUGUAAACUACUUUUAUUAGGGAGGAAAAACUUUGAUUUAUCAGAGCUUGACGGUACCUAAGGAAUAAGCACCGGCUAACUCCGUGCCAGCAGCCGCGGU
rnacentral:rRNA from 1 species